UACGUAGGCAGCAAGCGUUGUUCGGAGUUACUGGGCGUAAAGGGUGCGUAGGCGGCCCUGUAAGUAUGGUGUGAAAUCUCCCGGCUUAACUGGGAGGGUGCGCUAUAGACUGCGGGGCUCGAGUGUGGGAGAGGAAAGUGGAAUUCCUGGUGUAGCGGUGAAAUGCGUAGAUAUCAGGAGGAACACCGGUGGUGUAGACGGCUUUCUGGACCGUAACUGACGCUGAGACACGAAAGCGUGGGUAGCAAACAGG
rnacentral:rRNA from 1 species